ACGCAGUUAUUUGGUAAAGCGAAUGAUUAGGGGUCUUGGAGUCAAAAUGAUCUCAACCAAUUCUCAAACUUUAAAUGGGUUAGAAGCCCAGCUCGAUGGCAUGGGGCCAGGUAUGAAAUGCGAGUGCCUAGCGGGCAACUUUUGGUAAGCAGAACUGCUGCUGUGGGAUGAACCAAAUGCCAUGUUAGGGUGCCUGAUGCUGAUGCCCAUUAGACCCCAGAAAAUGUGUUGGUUGAUAUAGACAGCAGGACGGUGGGCAUGGAAGUCAGAAUCCACUAAGGAGUGUGCAGAUCUUGGUGGUAGUAGCAAAUAUUCAAAUGAGAACUUUGAAGGCCGAAGUGGAGAAGGAAGUUGCUUGAUCUUGAUUUUCAGUAUGAAUACAGACCGGGAAAGCAGGGCCUCA
rnacentral:lncRNA from 1 species